CACACGUAAGAGUGUUUUAUCACAUAUAAAACACUAUGCGUAGCGGAGUGUUUUAUAUGUGAUAAAACACGACUACAAGUGCUUUAAAUGG